rnacentral:tRNA from 1 species
GCUGGAGUGGUGGAACUGGCAGACACGCUAUCUUGAGGGGGUAGUGGGCUUCGGCUCGUGCGGGUUCAAGUCCCGCCUCCAGCA